GCUAAACGCGAAGAACCUUACCAAGGCUUGACAUGGAUUUCUAAGCACGUGAAAGCGUGUGACCCUUCGGGGGGACUUCCACAGGUGCUGCAUGGCCGUCGUCAGCUCGUGUCGUGAGAUGUUGGGUUAAGUCCCGCAACGAGCGCAACCCUUGUGAACAGUUGCCAGCGCGUCAUGGCGGGAACUCUGUUCAGACUGCCCAGAUCAACUGGGAGGAAGGUGGGGACGACGUCAGGUCAGUAUGGCCCUUACGCCUUGGGCUGCACACGUACUACAAUGCCCAGCACAAUGAGAACCGAUGCCGCGAGGUGGAGGAAAUCUGCAAAACUGGGCUCAGUUCGGAUUGGAGGCUGCAACUCGCCUCCAUGAAGUUGGAAUCGCUAGUAAUGGGGCAUCAUCUACGGCCCCGUGAAUACGUUCCCGGGUCUUGUACACACCG
rnacentral:rRNA from 1 species